UCAGGUCCAGGCCUCGUGAUGUCAGGGGUCAGGUGCUGUGCAGGCAGAGGAGCAGGCAAACCCUGCUCACGGCCUUCCUAGGAACUCCUUCCCUUGAGCUCCCUCAGCCCUCAGAUGCCCAGAGCAGGCAGUGCUCCCAGCAGACAGCCCUUGUGGAACAGCAGAAUGGAAUCCUUCCUUGGGUUGGAGUGAGAGAAGCGGAGCCCUAGAUGGCCCUGAAUGGAUACCCAGAGCUACAUGACCUCCUCUGAGGUCCAUACAAUGGCACCCAGCAGGCGGAGAAGUCCAGCGGGGAGGAAGGAGAAGCAGCCGAAACACACUUACCUGUUCUCACCAAUCACCAAUGGAGGCAGACGCACCGGAACAUGCAAGAGAAAGAGAAAACACUGGUCAGAUAAACAUUUCUUAGAAAGUGUCCAGACGUAAGAUCACCGAUGAACCUGUAGCCUCAAAAAUAAAAUCGGAACUGGCCUGUGCAGAUGGCUCAGUUGGCAGGGUAUCUGACCGAGGCUGGAGCUCACCAGUGAUAAGCCCCAGGAUCCUUCGACCUCUCUGCUCCCUGUGCUGGGACUGCAGGCCUAUGCUACCAUGCUCAGCUUGUCAUGUGGAUGCUGUACUGGCUGGUUUUGUAUGUCAACUUGACGAAAGCCGGAGUUAUCACAGAGAUAGGAGUCUGCCUUGAGGAAAUGCCUCCAUGAGAUGCAGCUGUAAGGCAUUUUCCCAACUACUGAUCAAGGAGGGAGAGCCCCUUGUGGGUGGUGCCAUCCCUGGGCUGGUAGUCCUGGGUUCUAUAAGAAAGCAAGCUGAGCAAGCCAGGGGAAGCAAGCCAGUAAGGAACAUCCCUCCAUGGCCUCUGCAUCAGCUCCUGCCUCCAAGUUCCUGCCCUGUGUGAGUUCCUGUCCUGACUUCCUUUGGUGAUGAACAGCAAUGUGGAUGUGUAAGCUGAAUAAACCCUUUCUUCCCCAACUUUCUUGGUCAUGAUGUUUUGUGCAGGAAUACAAACCCUGAAUAAGAGAGAUGCUGAGGGCCAGAACCCACUCACACAGGCCCUGAGGCUGUGUUGUAAGCACAUUACCCAUUAAGCCAUCUUCUUUUGAUUUUGUGUUUUUCCAAAUUAAAAAAGGGCAUAUUCCAGAGCCAACGAAAGUGUCAUGUUAAAACUCAGACAAACCAACAGUCAGUUUCAUCCCAGUCCAGAUGUCAAGCAUCCUGAACAAGACUGAUACACUCAUCUCCAAGAGGACACGUUGGCACUGUACUGUGGACGGGGCCAGGUUCUAACAUGUGCACAUUGGUUAUUUUUUGUUGCUGUGAUAAAUACCCAACAAAAGCAACUUAAGGAAGGAGGGUUCAUUCAGGCUCCCAGUCUGAAGUCAUAGUCCACCACAGUGAUGAAGGCAGGGAGGGGGCAAGAGUGUGAGGCAGCAGCCCAUGUCACACCUGCAGUCAGGGAGCAGAGAUGGAUACUGCUAAGCCCUCUUUGUCCUUCCUGUCCAUCAUUCUAAGACCUGGGCCUAUGGGAUGGUGCCAACUACAAGGAGCAUAUGUCUUCCCCACCUCAACGAACCUAAUCUAGACACUCCCUCACAGGCACGAACCUAAUCUAGACACUCCCUCACAGGCACACACAACAGCUCGUUUCCAUGGCAAUUCUGAAUCAACAACUUGACAAUCAAGAUUAAGUAUCACACCAGGCUUGCGAGAUGAUCCGCAGUAAGAAAACUCCCCUGUGGUGGGCUCUGCGCUCAGCAGAUUAUAGGUCUCAAUAGGCAUUCAGGAACAUUUGCUAAAAUGGAAUGCCUCUUCAGUUUUUAAGGCCCCCGGGAAAGUAGGAAUACAGAAUCCCCAUCAUGUGAGAAUUCUUCAAACAUGGGUCAAACAUGACCACGCCCCCAUAUUAACUCCCUGCUGAUGUGAUACAGAAUUCAGGGGCACCACUGUCCAGGGUCCCCGCUAUGUGCAGACAUUCCUGGGCAGCAGCAAGCCCUACUACAAGGUGGACAACUUCACUCCCAACAGUUCUUGCCUUGAGUCCUAGUGGCUAAGCUGUGUAUGUGUUCACAGAGACUGUGUCCUAGAGGCUGGAGGUGAUAGUGGGCGGGCAGUGGCCUUCUUACCCAUGAUCUCCUCCUUGUACUGGCCUGGCCUCCUGGGCACCAGCGAGCUCAGCACUGCGUCAGUCAGGGCCCAGUUCAACACCCUCAGGGAGGCUCUGGCUGUGACAUGGGGCCUUGGGGCCUCCAGGGGCCAGUGCCCUGCCUGGAGGAGGAGUGCUAUAUGCCCUGCCUAUAGUAUAUGCCCUGCCUAUAGGGUGUUUAUUCAUGGAUAUGUAAUAUGUAUGUGUGUGUCAGGGGGCAGUCAGUUCUCUCCUUUCACCACAUGGGUCCCAGGGACCAGGUUUAAACCAUCAGGCUUUCUAGCCAGCACUAUUACCCGGUGAGCCAUCUCACUAGCCCAUGGCAGGGUGUUUAAGGACAUGUAUACAAGCAAGGCUGGGCCUCUCCAAUCCUCUGCUUCUGUGGGAGAGCUGGAGAUAGACAAGGGACAGGGCCGGCCUUGCAGCUUGGCUGAGUGCCCAUGGUUACUUCUGCCUGAGGACAUACUUAGUUGGCUUCUAAGGUGUUCUUAGUCCUCCUCCCCUUUCUCACUCUGGCCUGGGCAGUACCACACAAAGUCCUUUCCCCAGUUCCUAAAUCCCAGGAAGGGUGUUGAAGGCAGUGUAGCCUAGAAGGCCUUAAAGUACUUUGAGAAGUCAGGCUUACAAUAAGGUAGGGCAGUCCCCACAAGGAAGGGGUUAACAGGGAACAGCUAGAACAGGGAAGUGGGAGGUAGGGCAAGCACAAUAGGGACUUAGCCCAGCCAGCGCCCCAGGCCCUCCUACUGAACUAGGACAGGCCAAGGGGAGCCAGAGAAUCAUCCAGGCUGGCCUGGACAGGCACAGGCUUGGCUGGCUCUAGACCCCCACGGCUUUGACCUGCUCUGGCUGGGAGCAGCGAGGCUUCUGAAAUGUCAGGAACGCUCUAAGCUUCUGGCUCAUCUGUCCUCUGGAUACUUCUGUCAGGCGUGGGCACAACCACACCCGCCAGGGUCGAGAAGCCAGGGACCACACUUCUUGGGAGUAGCUGUGAGAGUUCACUUUGGGUAGGAUGCUGGGGCCCUCAACGGCUCGGGGAGGCUAAGAGUUGAAUGGGUAGAUUGAGACACACAGUUGUUUUCAUAUGCAACAGCAGCAAAUGGGGCCUAGCUAUUCCAUCAGGUAUGGGGGAGGGAAGUGGGGGGAGGGACUAGACCCCAGACUGGGAUGCAAAGGGCUAAAGGCUCAGCCCCUGACAUGGGGGGAGUGACUCAGAAGGGCAGUGGGAGGAGCAUGUGGUGUGGUGUCAGCUGACCGGGCUCCCAGUGGAAACAAGACUUGACUCAGGAGAAGCCUGAGAGAGGAGGUGACACUGUGGGCAGCUUGCAGCUGGGAGUUGUGACCUGGCCCUUCAUCUAUCCCUGUCACUACUGCUCCUCCUGUGAUGGGGGACAUACCCAGCUACAGUGUUCCCAUGCUUCCUGGUAGUAAGGAGGUGGAAGGCAGAGAGGCUGAGCUGUGUGUGCACCCUACAUUGUGAGACCUGAGUCCCUGGGCUAAGCAGAGAUGCAUGAGAUCUGGAGAUGGGGGGAAUCUGCUCACGGAGCAGGGCACCACAAGUCCCGGAUUGCAGAAUGUGAGGCACCCAGUGCCCAUCUCACGCAGCAAGAGCACAGAGCUGCAGCUCAGGGUUCCCGUGCCAUGCUGUAGCCAUAUGGCCCCACUAUGUCUGCCACUGGCUUUGUCUUCUUAUGCUUCAGGGCGGAGGCCUGUCCCUGCAGUCCUCAGAUCUGUCUCAAGUGCAAAGGGUGCCUCUGGGAACACACAGACCCUUUUGCACCCUGGAUUGGGUAUAGGUGACACUGAGGUCACUUGGCCCUUUUCGGAGAGGACGCCUCAACCUUGGCCCUGCCGGCCCUCCGGGGCUCUGGAAGGCAGGUCCCAGCUCUGCCACUGGGCCAUCACUAAAGCUCAUGUCAUUUUUCAUUUUAACUAAAUCUAUACGGCUAUUAUGGUGUGCAUUUGUGUAUGGUGUGUGUGUGCAUGUCAUGGUGCCUGUAUAGAGGGCAAAGGGCAACUCUGUGGAGCUCUUCUCUCUCCCCUGCCUGCACAGCGAGCAUAUUUGCAAAUGUCCUCCCCCCAAUCCCUGCUUCUCUCUCUUCUUUAAAAAGAAGGGCCCUACAGAUCACUCUCACCCAGGGGAGCACCUGGAGUCUUUGGUGCAGCUGCAGCCGCACCCCUCUGUACAGCCUCCACGGGGGCCCACCCCAGCACUGCAGACACACACCACAGCACACACCUCACCAUGCUACUCUGAAGCCAGCACAGGCUACACACGCCAGGGCCCCACCCCACACCUGUCUUAGAAGGGAGCACUGCUCUUUGCCAGGGCCUGCUUCAGGGUCCUGCACACACCAGGCCUAGCUGUGCUGUUUUUCUUUCCUGCUUUGUUUCUCUACUAGUCUGGCCCCAUGGGGCCUGGGCAGAAUGAGGCCUCAUCUAAGCCUCUGAGGUGAGGCUUGGCAUGAAGCCUACUGGCCAACCAUCCCAAAGCCACUCCCUAGAGCCGAGAGCAAAUUACUGGCAGGGACUGUCUUCAGCAAGCACUGGGUGAGUGGGGAGUGGGCGUGGGGGAGGGAAGCCCUGGGUGGUCAGAGCGGCAGAGAAAGAGCUGGAGAACAGAAACUGGGAGAGCUGCACCCCAAGGUUCAUGUCUUCUAAGGUCUCAGCCUCUGGGUGUGUGCAGAAAGACCAGAGCAGCCCAAAGCAGGCACCAGUUAAGUGUCAGAUUCCCUUCCCUGACAUAUACCCUGUUUGUAUUGGGACCAGCCUUGGCCUGACACUUUAAAGGAAACAAGAACUAACUAGCCAACACAAAGACACAGACAGACGCACGCACACGCGCGCAUACACACACACACACACACACACACACACACACACACACACACAUACACACACACACACACACACACACACACACACACCACACGGGAGUGGCCUGCUGUUGAGUGUGUAAAGGGCUCUGUACUGACUCCUGACUGCCCUGGAACUGCUGUGAGCGGUGCAGUUGGCUGGGUUAGAGACCCUGUGGUAUCCGGGUCAGCAGCCCAGGACUCAGAAGCCUCUCCAGCCCUUGGCCACCCUGCACGGGGCUCCCUGAUAAACCAGGUCUCUAAGGCUUUGGAGAUGACAAGCAAGACAAAGACAUGAGGGUGGGCUCAGGCCACCAGUAUGAGAAGUUAAGCCCUCUGCGUGCCCGUGAAUUGGCUUGUGGGACUGUUAAGAGCCAGGUAGGGAGAGGGGAAGCUGCCGGGAAAGGGCUCUGGGGCAUCAGAAACAAAACAAGGACACCCACUUGCCCACUCCAGUCGACAUAAUCCCAGAAAUAGGCAAGAAAAGGAAAUAAAAGCCAUACAAACAAGAAGAGACAAGUCAAGUUAUGUCUGCAGAGGAACUGUUUUAUAUACAGAAGCCCCCAAACAACGGGAGCGGAGAGAGAACUACAACCGACGGACUCGGCAAUGUCGUAGGAUAUAAAUUUAAAAGUCGGUUUUACAUACAAGCAAUAAACAACCUGAGGAGGAAAUGAACAAAGUGACGACGUUUACAGCCGCGUCAAGAGUAAGCGUAACCAAGGAGCUGGAAGAUUUGUAUACCGAGAGCUGUAGUCCACGAGAGACAGACAGACGUGAAGACUGGCACGGACAGAAGCAGCAGCUAGUGCUGAGGGACUAGAAAACCUAACCAGAUCUACGGAUCGGAUCGGCAGAGGUUUAUACCGCUCGUAACUACAAACUGCUUUCUGUGUAUGUGGAGCUCAUCUGAGUCUCAUGGAAGACAUCUCAAAUAACCACAGUAUGUCAUAAAGAGCAAAGUUAAAGGACGUAUGUGCCAAAACUUAACUAGAAAACGGUGGUAAUCAAAACCCUGUGAUACUGGCACAGAGAUAGACAGACACACACACUCACUCACACACACAAACUGUACCCCCCCCCCCAACAAUGAUUUAACAAAAGAUGUUAAGGCCAUUCUUAGGGAAAGAGAUGGAGACCUAGGCAACCAUUUCCUACAGAAUAAAUCUGAAGUUUGCCUGCGACGUUUUUGAAUAGGAACGGCCCCCAUAGACUCAUGUGUUUAAAUGCUUGGCCCAUAGUAGGUGGCACUAUUAGAAAGUGUGGCCUUGUUGGAGGAAGUGUGCCACUGUGGAUGCUGGCUUUGAGGCCUAGUGGGGGAGUUUCCUCCUGUCACUUGUGGAUAAAAUGUAGAACUCUCAGCUCCUUCUUCAGCACCAUGUCUGCCUGCGUGCUGCCAUGUUUCCCGCCAUUAUGAUAAUAAACUAACUCUCUCAAACUAUAAGCCAGUCCCAGUUAGAGGUGCUGUGGUCAUGGUGUCUCUUCACAGAUGUAGAAACCCUAAUUAUACCCUAAGAUAUCACCUCAACUCACCUUGUAGGAUUGGGGCUUGGAGCCAGGGCCUGGUAUAGGCUAGGCAAGUGCUUAGCCUUUACCAUGAGUCCUUGGAAUUUUGUCUUCCUUUACAUAUCAAAACCAAUGCUAGAAGGAUCAUUGAAGAGCCCAAACAUAAAUCAACACUGGGGGAAGUUUAUUAGGUUGGACUUGGUGAUGAUUUCUUAGAAAGGCAAAGGAGACAAACUAGGCUUCAUUGCAAUUAAAAACUUUUGUAAGGCUAAGUCAUCAACAGAGUGAAAAGACAAUCCAUGCUGAAUAGGAGAAAGUAUUUGCAAAUGUUGUAUUCGGUAAUAAAUCGAUAUUCAGAUAUCCAUCAUAUAUAAAGAACUCUUAUGACUUAAUAAAACACCAACAACCCAUUGAAAAAUGGUAAAGAAGCUGAAUAGACAUUUCUCCAAAGAUAUACAAAUGGCUAAGAAGCAUAUAAGAUGCUCACCAGAAGUGUGUAUAAGAGGACUGCUAACCCAAAGCCCAGUGAGAAGACUGGCAAGAUGGCCCAGUGGGUAAAUCUCAUGACACACACACAAGAAGGUCCAGUUCCAGUCUCCAAAGAAAAGUAGGGCAUAGUGCCACAUGCCGGGAGCCCCAGCACUGGGUGUGCGGCAGAGACAGGAGGAUCUCUGGGGCUUGCUGGUCAGAUGGUCCAUCCAAUGGGUGAGCUCCAGGAUCAGUGAGAAAUCCUGCCUCAAAAAUAUAAGGAAGGAGAAGGCUGGGUGUGGUGGCACACGACUUUAAUUCCAGUACUUAGUGGAAACAGAAAGAUCCCUGUGAGUUGGAGGGCAGCCUGGUCUCUAUAGCAGGUUCCAGGCUACCCUGGGGAUACAUAGUGAUAACCUGUCUCAAAUAGGCAAACACAAACAACAGCAAAACUAAGCAAAUAGAAAAAAGUGGAGAGCCAUGGAAGGAGAUCCCCGACAUCAGGCUUCACACUUGCACACACACAUGAAUGCAUAGACAUAGACUCAAAACCACAAUUGGGUGCCACUUCGUAUGCAUCAAUAUGGUGUAUUAAAAAACAACCAACCAACCAACCAACCAACCAACCAACCAACCAACCGUUAGUGGUACACAGCCAUAGUAGUCCCAUGAACUUGGGGGCUAAGGCAGAGGAUUGCUUGAGCCCAGAGUCAGAGGCUACAGUAAGCAGUAGUAACAAUGGUGGGAUUGGACUAGGAUCAGCUUUUUGUGUUCUAGCCUGGGCAAGGGGAGCCAUUAGCACAAAACAAAGCAACCAGAAAACAAGAGCUGGUGGUAAGUAGGAGGAGAAAUUAGAUCCCUGCGCAUUCCUGCCGGGAAGAUAAUGAAGACCUGUGGGUGGAGAUUUACCGAGUGAUCCUAGAAUUCUCCUUUUGGAUGUAUAGCACCAAAGAACUGAAAGUAGAGGCUCAAGGAGACGUUUUCUUUUCUUUUCUUUUCUUUUCUUUUUCUUCUUCUUCUUUUUUUUUUUUUUUGGUUUUUCGAGACAGGGUUUCUCUGUGUACUUUGGCUGUCCUAGAACUCACUUUGUAGACCAGGCUGGCCUCAAACUCAGAAAUCCGCCUGCCUCUGCCUCCCGAGUGCUGGGAUUAAAGGCAUGUGCCACACCACUGUCUGGCUCAAGGAGACGUUUUCACACACACAUGGACAACAGCAUCAUUCCCAAGAAAGAAAAACAGCUAAAUAACUAUUGAUGGACGGACAUACCAGCAAGAUGAGCAUAUAUGUAUGCACAGCGGGCUACUGUUCAGCCUUAAAACAAGGGAAUUUGGGGCCUGGGGGACAGCUCAGUGGAUGGUGUGUGCUUGCCUCACGAACACGAAGCCUGGAGUUCCGAUCCCCAGCAACCACAUAAAAGCUGGGCAGGCAGCAGUGUGUCUGAAAUUGUGAGGCUCAGGAGACAGACACGGGAUGCCUAGGAUAAGCUGGCUGGGCGGACCAGCCAGAUCAGCAGGCUUGGGGUUCACUGAGAAACCCUGCUUCAGGCCAUGAAGUGGAUGGAGGGUGGUUGAGUAAGACUCCUGAUGUCUUAUUCAGUAAGAAAUCUAGUUGUCAGCCUAUAGCUUACACAAGUGUGCAUGCACACCUGCACAUUCAAACAUGUGAGAGCAUGCACAAACACAUACAUAGGCAACGCCAGUCACCAAAAUACAAACGUCAUACAUUCCCACUUAUAUAAGGUAUCCAGAGGUGGGUUCCUCGUGACAGUCAAAUUGUGGUUGCUAGAAGCCAGGCAGAGGCCUAGAGAGUUAAGGUUUGAAGAAGAUGAGGUUUCCAUUUGGGAAGUUGAAGACGCUGAAAUGCACAAAGGUACUUAAAUGCCGAAGUGGUUGACACAUAUAUAUUGUGCAAAUGACUCAAAACCAGGUAUCCCCAGAGAGAAGUGACCACAGUCAACCCUGGGCAGGAUUUGUCUCCUGGAGCCCCCUGGGCAGCAUAGGAAAGGAGGUAUCCUUCUUCGAGAGCUGCUACCCCAAGGGGACCUUAGUGACCAGGGGACACAUGGGACCUGUCUGGUCUAUGCUAGCUCCCCACCCCCAGUCUCUGAUAUAGGUUAGGUGGGGCACAGCUGGAGACCCCUGGGACCAAGCAGAGGCUGUACAGGAUGCUUGCUUACACACACACACACACACACACACACACACACACACACACACACCUGCACGCUUCCAUUAGUAGUUCCUGCAGGCCACUCCCCAGUGAGGAAGAAGGGCAACUGACUCCCUGUGACUCUCCCAUUGGUAAUGGCUCUGUGCCAGGGUAACACCUGGAAAGGAAGGGCUGGCUGGCACAGGUGAAAGGUACUCUAAGAUGGUCAGCCGCACCCUGUCCCUCAGGUGCCCGCCCCAGGUCUCUGUGCUGAGAGCUGCCUUCCAAUCAUCCCAAUAGUAGGAGCCAGGGUGAGACCUCAGGCCUGUCCUCCGGGCUGUCAGAACAGAGGCACAGUGUUUUUCUUCCUGCUGUCCCAGUUGCCGGUCCCUGUCCUUCCUCCCUGGCUGUGAAGAGGCCAGCACACACAUUUCACCUAAGACACAAGGUUUGCUAUCCUCCUGGAUGAGUCUGUCUCUCCCAGGAAAGAGAGGGAGCCGUUGGCUCACAUCAUCUUACACCAACCAGCCAAGCUUUCAGAUGCACACACACACCAGCAACAGUGUCUGUAUGGCCUAGGGACCUGACCCUGGACUGAGGCUUCAGCCCACCUUCUGCAGUGACAGGUCAGCCCUGAAACAGAUCCUCCCACAUCCUGGUCAUCCAGAGGGCCAGGCUGCAGAAACUGCCCAGCCACCAAGUGGAAAAUCACUCAGCUCUUUCCUAACAGGCAUGAGUGGGAAGGGAUUCCAAGCAAGGGGAGAUGUCUGAGUGCCAAUGCUUGUAAGGAGAAAUGGGAUUCUCACUCUGGAAUAAUUGAGUGAUUACUGGAUGAGAAACAUGAGCUGACGUGGGCGCAUGUAUGAAUAGGGAUGCACACACAGGUAUUUGGGUAAGGGUGUACAUUGAGAGCAGGCGUCCUGUCCUGUUGGCCUCUUCCUUUAUCCCAGGAGUCUCCCAAGGUCUUGUGCUGGACACUUAUGAUGUGAAGGUGAGACUUGUGGCUCAACUGCCACAGCCCAGUCCCCAGCAGUACCCCAGGGAAUCAGUGGUGUGUCCUCAAGGCUUGGCAAGUCUGUUUCUACCCUGGCUCACGGGAGCAGCAGAAUGAGGCAGUCAAGCAUUCUCUGGGACCUCAUAGGUCUGAAAAGUGUGGGUCUUGGCUGGAUCAGAAAGCUUAAAGGCAAGUACCCAUGCCCCGGGUCUAAUCACCCCAACAGCAGGAGCCAGAGGUUGGACACACAACAAACACUCGCACACAUGCACACACAGAGAGAGACAGACAGAUAGAUAUCAGCUAGAAGAUCCUUCUGCUAUGCCUUAAAGUCAGUCCACACUGCCAAAGGAAGUAGGCACCAUUGUACACAGUAGGGUUGGGGGCGAACCCUGAAUACUGGGGUUCCAGUCAGGCCUGUAUUCUGUUAGGUUUCUUCUUCAAGGGCCUCUCUAUGCAUGGCAAAAGAGGACACUUGCUCCUGGGACUCGCCACUCAGUGGUCAGCUGUUGUGCUGUAUGACCGGAGGUCACAGAUGUUGACCGGGGGUUGAGACAGCUGCUGCUGAGUAGGCAGAGAGCUAGGUCUGUUCAGUCAAGACUGGAAAACUGUGGCCCUGUGCUUACUUCCUUGCUGAGCCUUCAGCUGAGAAGGCCUGCGCCCACAACACUGUCUUCUCCAGGCCCCUCUGUGGCUCCUCAGGAAUGCAUGGUAACUCCCUAGGGGUCUAAGUCCCUCCCUGGUUCAAGAAAGGCACCGCAGAGGUGUCUGCUGACCAAAUGCAGGCUCUCCACAGUAUGCACUAUUAACACAUCACUCAAACAACACAUCCUGCCUCCUAGGCUCACAGACCACCUCAUACAGUCUGUGUCCAGCUUGUUCUUUAGGAACAUCAAGUAGGUGCUUGGAAAUAUCGGCCAUUUUGAUGGGAUACUUGACACUACAUUUGGCCUUGGGUACUGUGUCAGUGUACUAUGAUGACCAACUUUAGAUGUCAUCUGCCUUUACUAAGGACUCCCAGAGGGCUGGAAAAGCGCACCUGGCAUUGGAAUCAGUGGACCAAGUAAGGCCGUCUCCCUGAAUGUACAUAGGGACCACAUGGACAGCUAAGGGGUCUACACAUAAGGAAAUGGCACAGGGGCGGGGGGUGGGUAUGUGCUCUUCAGCAUCUGGGAGGUACCCUCUUUCUGCCAUUGGGCAUUAUCACUUCAGGUUAUCAACGGCUACCAAGUUCAGAGGUCCUCAGUCUUGGACUGAGCCAUGGUUUUCCCGGAUUUCCAGCUUGCAGAGAAUAUGCCCUGAAAUAACAAAGCUUCCAUGGUCACGUGAGCGAAUUCCCAUAAGUCCACUCUCAGCCUCCCUACCUAUAUCCUAUGGGUUCUGUUUCUCUGGAGAACUAGCACCACCCUUUGGGGAUACUGCUGGCCAUGCCCUUCACCCCAAAGGGUACCAAUCUUCUAACAGCUUGAUCUCUUCUUGCAUAUGAUGGAAGAGGGCCAUGAAGCCAUCAUGGCAGAGCCCACUGCUGUUCCAAGAGUAGGUGCUUCAUCAUAUGUGGGGUAAGUAAAAAACUAAGCAUCUACCAUGGACCAUAAAAGUAUAGUAUUCCUCAGAGGCAGCCUUGGAAACAGAUGUUAACACAGGCAGGCCUCUGGAAAGACCCCGGACUAGCACAUCUUCUGAUGACCAGCUUGGGACCACAGUCAGUCCCUCAACUCUGAGUGGUUUUCCGGCUUGCAGCUGGGAUAUGAAUCUCAGAGGGCCGCAGUGGGGAUGGCUGUGGUCCAGCUAAGCUUUUGCAGCACAGACUGUAGCAGCUGCACACAACGUCUAGCAUCGUUAGAGGACCCCACACCAUAAUAGCUCAGCAUCUAUUUCCUCAUGGAGGGCCACUGGCUCCCUUUCUGACUAUCAAGUACACAGGGCAUCAUCACCCUGUGCUCUGUGCUGGCAAAGUUCCUGUGAUGUAUCACAAGGAUGGGGUCACCCACAGUUCACCUCUUCCACCUGUCUAUAAAACAUGCAAGUACUAAGCCAAGACCACACAAGGUCCCGUCUUGACCAGUAAAAGUCAUGGGGGAAGGGGACAGCGACUAGCAACAGCAAGGUUGAAAAUAGGGGAGGAUACAGAGGAGGGAGAGUGGGUGAUGGAACCUGGAGGGGCCUGCUCAGCUAAACGGUCAGCUCAGGUUCAAAUCCCCCAAGCACACAAUUUCUUGUCUGGGAGCCUGUGCCGUGUGGUGAUCACAUGGUGUAGAUAAAAAAAUGUCAGAGGAUGCUGCAGUGUGGGAGGGCAUCCUCAGCCCUGGCUGUAAGGUAUCUCUGUUAAGUUAUCUCAACAUCUGUGAGCAAAGUGAGGAACCCCUAAGGAGAAGAGGGGGCCUGGCCUGUGAUGCAGACUGAGCCAGAGAAUGGUACCUGUGAUGGCUGUCUCGACUAUCAACUCGAUUGCAUCUGGAAUUUAUUAGGGGACACAUCUGGGUAGAUCUAGGAAGGUGUUUCCAGAAACUGAGGUGAGAAGAUAAUCUCUCAUCUUCCAGUGAUGGCUUAGAUGUUGAGAGGUCAGAGGGAAAGUUUGGAUGCCCGCUGGUCUGCCACUGCUCCUUGGUCAAGGGUACCUGUACCUGGUGGGGCAGCGAUUCUUCACUGACAUCAGAGCCCCGCCUGGUUUGCUUCCAGCACAGCCUGAAGACCAGGGAUGCUCUAGGAAUCCUCUGGCCUUCAGAGGCAUCCACUUCAUGGACUCAGCAGCAACUGGGCUUCUGAGUUCUUAGCCUCUCCAAUAUGCUCACAAUCGGAUGUCAACAACUACCAAAAAAUUCUAAUAAAUGCCCUCCCCACCCCCUCACUCAGUUCUGCAACUCUAAAAACCUUGCCUACCAUGACGAUCCCAGCUGCUGAGCUGUCAGGAUUGACUUCACCUGGGUGGGUCCCUUUCCGAGCCAGCUCCCUGAGACGUGCUUCUGCUUCAAAUGGCCUACUGGUCCCAUUCCUACCUUCCACUCAUGUGACUAAAAGCAGCAGCUCCCCCACAGAGGCUGCACUUUUCUGCUGGGCGUGUUGCCAGCCCAGCUUCCAGGAAAGCAAAGGCAUAAACCUGUCCUCACAGGACUCGACUUCCUGAUGGCUAUAAACAGCAUGAUGGGGAAGCAGUGAACCUUCUCAGAGUUCAGGAGGUGGGCUGGCAAGCACGCCUGGACUCACAUGAGCAAAACAACCCACACCUACCCACUCGUCUGCCCAAAGAACCGAGGUGGCAAAGGAGCUAUAACCCACUCUCCUUGUGGUCCAUUCUCUCCCACCUCUGCCUGGGCAGGGCCUCUCUUUCCAUCAGACACCAAUAGAUUCAGACUACCGAGGUGACUCAGCAGGUAAACUUUCCACAGAGCCUGACCACCUGAGUGUGCUUUCUGGACUCCACAUGGUGGAAGGAGGGAACCAUUUCUGAUAGUUGUCCUUUGACCUCCACAUGCGGCACCUAAUUAGGUUACAAAAUUAAAUUAGAGGCUAGGGAGAGCUCAGGAGUUAAGGCCCUUUUCUGCUCUUGCAGAGGACCUGAGUUUCAUUCUUAGUACCCACAAUGGGUGGUUCAUAACCACUUGUAUGUAACUCCAGAUCCAGGGGACCCAGUGCCUUCCUCUGGGGUCUGGCCUCCAAACCCAUCCACACAUGCCUGGCUUACACACACAGAAACACACACAUCAUAUACAUAAGUAAAACAUAAGAAUAUAUCUUUAAAAUUAUAGUUUAAAAGGCCUCUAGAUAACUAGAAAGACUAUCUGCUCCCUCCAUCCCUGACUUUGAUCUCUGGUUAGUCACCAUUGUCACAUCUAAUGAACUGGAGCAACCAGUCAUUGAGCCAGACUCUUUGGGGACCUGGUAGUCUGUCGGGAACCUCCAACCAGGCCCUCUGCACUAUCCCAGGCCUCUGAGAACCUUGCUGUGAUUGGCCACAUUUGUCCCUAUCACAGACAAACAGUAUGGUAAGUCUGGGACCCUGGUAGGAGCCACUCCUAGAUCCCCUGGUAGUGAGGCUACCUUGCUGUCUGUCAUUGCAGAGGGGUAAGGGAUAUAGGGGACCUUGGAGCCAUAAGCUUGCGGCUCUGUAAUGGGUGACCUUAUGUGGCAGUUUACUUAGGCUCUCUGUUCCUCAGUUUCCUGUCUGCAGAAUACGGAUCCUAGUGAUGAGGACUGGAAAAGUAAGUCUAGUACCGAGUGAGGGGUUUUGUGGGUCACAGUCACCAUCUGUCUGGGCAAAGCCUCUCUGCCUUGGUUCCCCUACAGUGUCCCUCUUUGGUACCUUCCCCAAGUCCCCCAUUUCCAGUAGUGCUUGUGUCAAAGCUUUUCCUGAGGUCUAGGAUUCAGGAAGGCUCAUAUACCCCCAAUCUCCCUGCUUGAAAGGACACCCAUCUCAACUCUCACCAUGGUGAUGUCAACACCAAAACUCAGUGCCUCCAGUCUGUUUCCCAAGGACACCAAAGCUCCAGAGAGGUAAAUAUUUACAUGGGAGUUUAAGUGCUGACUUGGAGGGAAUUGUUCUCCUUUGCUGCCCAGGAGCUAGAAGCAACUGUCUACAUUUGUCCCCUGGGCUCUACAAGCCCUGAAGGGUUCUAAUUUUCAGUCAGAAAGGGACUCAGGGGGGCCGCUUUGUCAGGAUCUCUUGUCCCAAGCUUGCAGAGUGAGGCAUCAGAGGCUAGGGCUCAGUGUAUGUGUGGGCACCCCAUGAUAAGCUCUUCUUCUGGGAGGGCAGUGCCAGGAGCUUUGUGCACAAAGCAGGAUCAUGCAGGGGUCAGUCCUGGGUGUGGCUGCAGCAGAUGGUGCUGCCUAUGGAUGGGGAGGGGAGCGGGGCCAGGUACCAGAUGCAGACAAGCAGUGUCCUAGUCAGGCUGUGGGUGAUAUGGAGGGGUCUUUUAGGCCUACCUUCCCUAACAUAGAGAUGGAGCCUGGGGUUUCCAAGCAGCAGCUCCAGGCUCUGGUUUUAGUUGUAAGGCCCUUUCUUCCGACUCAGUCUUUCGGAAACCCUGAUAAAUGGGGCCUGCAGCAGUAGACCCUGCUGGCUUACCUGGCCUUUUUGGACUCAGCUUGUGUAUCUGGGCCCUGCUGAAUACCUUUGCAGGCAAUCCUGGAGUAUUCACAUGCUGGGAAAACAGUAAUAAGAUCACCACCUGUCCACUCCCUUGGCUAUCUAGGCCUAUGACUGAGACUGCCUCCAUCAGCAAGGUCCCACCAACGGACAGAGGGCUGGCUUGGACUCUAGCUACUGCAGGUACCUAUGUAAGGCAUAAGCCUAGAGCCACAUUAAAAGAGGAUGAGCAUGUGGGAGGUGACAUCUGCUGGGCAGAUCACCCAUGGAACUUGGCCCUAAGACACACAGAGACACACACCCUACUAGCCAGGAAGAAGAUAACAACGCCACAGAGGAAGACCAAGGCCAAAGGCACAAACAAGAAAAUCUCUGCAGUUGACCCAAGGCCACUCACACCUAUUUCAUAGUAGAUAAAGUACACUCCUAGUCUGCAGGGCCUGUUCUGGGCUAAGAAUGGGAAACUCCGACUGACUGGAUGAGGUCUAUAGGACCGCGAACAGGUGCGGUUUUAAUAAGCUGCACUGUGGCAGGCAACAUGAAUGAAGGUCCCUCCAGGCUGCUUACAGAACAAAGAGAAAACAUCAGCUGUGUCUAGACAGCCAUGGGGCUGAUCUGGGAGGUGGCUGGAUUAAAUAUGCGUGUCAUGGACCGGCAAGGACAGAGACAGGCUGAGCAUAGAAGGUGGGUUUCAGGAAGCUAAGUACAAAUGGAUACAGGGCCUAGAAAGUUUACAACAUUGAACCAGCUUAGUGUAUGGGUUAAAAGAGCUGCAGCCUAGGUGCUAAGGUAGUAAAAAGAAGAUAGGAGAAUCAUGAAAUGGCAGAUAACAGGUUGGGGCAGAUGUAGAAAGGCUCUAACUCAGGUGUACAAUGAGGUAGCGGUGGACAUACAUUUCCCCCCCCCUCCACUGUACCCUUGUGUAGGAGUGUACACUGUGGGGUGAUUAGAGCCUGAGCUUGACCCAAUGCCACAUUGCAAGGAGCAUGCCCCAUGGCAUGUUUGCCCAUCCUGCCCCCCCUUGUGCCCCCUCAGUUCCUAUAAGCCCGUUAAGGAUCUCAGAGGAGCAGAGGGGAGGAUAUCCAUAGACAACAGGCUCUAUAUGCCUGUCUCCACAUUUGGGCUAGGGAUGUAGCUCAGGUGACAAGAGUACUUGUCUACACAGAGACAAGAGGCCUGGGUUCAAUCCCCACCACUGAAUAAGCCAUGCAUGGCAGUGUAUGUCUCUAUUUUCAACAUUCAGAGGGCACAUCAGUUCAAGGACAACUUGGAAUACUCACACGGACCCCCCACCCCCUAGGCUUUAACUGCUGGCUUCAGAGCUCACCAGUUCAUGGAGUAAGGUCAAGAGCUGGCUUUGGAGGUCCCUUUUUUCUCUGUUCCCAGAAGUGGCAAGAUUCAUUAUAAACCCAUGGGGGAACUGAAUGUGGAGGUCCUGGUCUGUACCCCUGUGGCAGGCACAGUCAAGGUGACCAUCUAAAGAAGGGGAGACAUCUCUACAGAUGCUCCAAAGCCCAUGAAAAGCAAACCCGAGGCUGCACUUGGUUGCAACACCUUUGGGCCCCUCACCUACUCUCCGUAGCCUCAGGAUGGCCCUGCAGAUGCCUGCCAACCCGGCUCCUGCUCUCCUGUCUCUCCCCAGCCGGCUUCCUUGCUGUCAGGGCAGCCACGGUACUUCCUGUCCUUACCUGCCCCACAGGACUGAAUAGAGCUUAUCACCUGAGCCCCACUGGGACUCUCACCACUCCUCUGGGAGUAAGGGAAACAGAAAAGGAGGCUUUCAGUGGUCCAGGCAGGGAGCAGCCAAGCUGGAGCCCACACUGUUCCGUCUCCGGAUGCAGGCAUAGCAGCGUCCCUAUGGCAAGCACAGUUUCUGGAGAAUGGUCUGGCUGAGUGGUGGAGAACCUUAUGCUGGAGAGUAGCCUGGCCAUGAGAGGAAGGAGCCUGCUCAUGACCAGGGGUGGUGAUGGCUUUGACCACUGACCUCUGUGCUUUACAGUUCUGUAAACCAUUAAUUCCCAGUUGAAUCCAUCCAUUUAUUAUCUUUCCAGACAACUACUGAUUUGUUCUGAUGUCCCUGCUGCUGGGCCUUUUAACAUUCCCCAUGUAAACAAACAGAGGCAGUUGCAUGGCUCACGGCCUUCAAAGCUGGGCCAGAUGCAGGGCUGUGGGGAAUGGCUUCUCUCCAAAGCGCCAUACAUAUGUGCAAGGCCCUGCUCAGCCAUGCCCAUCAUGGUGCCACAGACAGCCUGCUCUCCAGAUGGGGAGCUGGGCCCUCCUGGUUGGCAGACUGUGGAACUCAAGGGGUUGUAAGUGGCUAUGGCUCCCACUAGACAUGGGCACAAUCUCAAGCUGGAGGCACCAAGAGGUCACUGGUCCCUCUUUAGACCCCAGUGGUAGAUAGACAUCUUGACCACAAAAAUGGAGAUGUGUUUACUGAAUCCCAAAGUCACUGGCUCUGGUCACAAGACAGAAGAGGCUCCCUCUAGUUUUGAGGAUCCAGCUUUGGAACUUCACAUGACACAUGCCGCUAGGGCAUGGACAGGCAGGUUACUGUGUGUUCCCUCCUCUGGUACCUAAGCCCUGUGUGCAUAGAACAUCUGAUAAUUCUUGGAACUUUGGUUUUGUCUCUUGUGACAGACUGCCCAGGCCAAAGUCUGCAACGCAGUCAAUGAAUGAAUAACCCAGGAAAGCUGGGAGUAGGGUGGAGCCUCCAAAAGGUGGGCAGAACCCCGGUCAGUCAUGGAGGGUAGAGAAGCCUCCUCAACGUGACAAGUUUCACGCAUGAAUAGGUGUGCAGACUAAACGCUGGAAAGGGUUGCUAGAGGGGUGAGCUCUAGCCAGGCCCCCAGUGUCCACAGACCGGGCUUGGCCUCAGAGAGGCCAGUGGUAGAGGGAAAAAGACUUAUCCAAGCCAGGUUUGCCUGGCCCCAGCUUCCCACCAAGACUGUGUCUCCAGUGGGAACUAUCUGGAAGCUGGAGAGUCUCGUCUGUCCAGAAACUCUCUCGUUAGAGAGUUUUUUUCUCUCCACUCAGAGGUCAGGCUUUUAGCUCUCUCUGUGUGGAAAUAUACAAGCUGUUUCUGCAAAGUGACAGACCCUGUACUCAGGGGACUUGGAACAAUACUAAAGCAGGAAGGGGCAUUUUAUUCUGGGACACGCAAGAUUAGAAGUUCAACAGCCAGCAAAUGACAGGCCUGCCUGAAUUUUAAGGCAGACGAGACACUAACACCUGGGCUCUCUCUCUCCACUUAGGCUAUCUCUAGGUACCUCUAUGGCCCCCUAGUCAUUGCUGCCACCAGCUUUCAGCAACAUGCCUGAACCUUCCCUGGUUCCAGAGGGCAAAACCCUACACAUAGGAGAGGCCGCUGCCCACAUCACUUACAGGAGAGUUGUAUGACCUUGCUGAUAGACCCUGAAGGUGGGGGAGGGGGAGCGGUACCUGCCCCUAGGGCAUACAGGUUAUUCACUGGGUAGAAAGAGCCUGGUGGGAAUGUUCAAAGCUUCAGUUUGGAGUCUGGCCUGAUGGACUGACCAGCCCCUCUCUAACUGCUCUCCAAAGCAUGGUCUCUUGUGCUUUUGAAACCCACUAGGUGCCGGGUGUGGUGGCACACACCUUUAAUCCCAGCACUCGGGAGGCAGAGGCAGGCAGAUUUCUGAGUUCGAGGCCAGCCUGGUCUACAGAGUGAGUUCCAGGACAGCCAGGGCUAUACAGAGAAACCCUGUCUCAAAAAACCAAAAAAAAAAAAAAAAAAGAAAAAAGAAACCCACUAGGUGAGUGGGGAGCCCUGAUGACAGUCCCUUCCAACACUAUCUGUGGCUUCACGUCUGCUCUGGAAACAUCUCUCAAGUCCUUUGCACUAGGGACAGCAGAGGAAGUGUAGACAGGCUUCCAGCUUCCCCACUCAAGUGUGUAGAGCGCCAAGCAGACGGAGACAGGUUGGCCAUGGUCUCACAACAUUGUCUCUUACCCAUCCACCUUUCCCAGGAUACUGGUGGCGUGGGUACCCAGGCACUAAGGAGUCACCGGGGAACAAUCCAGUCAUGCAGGGGAGGUUACUGGAAGAUGCCAUGUGCCACCGCAGCCAUCAGCAGACCUCACCGGUGUUCCCUUUUUAGAGCCAAGAGGACGUGGCUUGAUUCCUGCCCUGCAGCAAAGGGGCAAAGGCUGUCGGGUGGUUUCUAGUAAGCCAGAUAGAUGGCUCAAGUUUCAAGCACAAUUGUACAUUUCUGUCUAGGUAUAGGAAGCCAAUACAGCCUGAUUCUGUGGCUGCAGGAGGCAGCAGAAGCACAGGGCUGGGGAAUGGACAGAUAUCCAAAUGCUGCCCCAGGCCUUGACACUCUGAUGAGUUUAAACGGGCCAGUGUUCCCACGGCUGCUAUAUGUGGGUGUUGAGGACUUCUCCCACUGUGUCCCACUGCUGUAAUGAAAUCCCCUGGGCUGGGUGCUUUCCAAAGCAAAGUUGACUAACUCGGGUUUUAGAGGUUCAAGGACAUGAUGUCAGCAGCAGCUCAGAUUUAGUGAGGGCCUUGUGCAGAGAUGACAUCAUGGUAGGUUCGUGGGCAAGAGAGGUUAGUUACAGGGCUGGCAGGAAGCCACAGAGCAUCCAUAGGAAGGCCCAGAUUCACUUUUAAGAACUAGCAGGGAUCUCCCUAUCCUUUUUCAGGAAGGUGUCCUCAAAUAACCAAAUCACCUAGGCUCCACCUC